UACGUAGGGAGCAAGCGUUGUCCGGAAUCAUUGGGCGUAAAGCGCGCGUAGGUGGCCCUGUAGGUCCGCUGUGAAAGUCAAAGGCUCAACCUUUGAAAGCCGGUGGAUACUGCAUGGCUAGAGUACGGAAGAGGCGAGUGGAAUUCCUGGUGUAGCGGUGGAAUGCGCAGAUAUCAGGAGGAACACCAAUAGCGAAGGCAGCUCGCUGGGACGUUACUGACACUGAGGCGCGAAAGCGUGGGGAGCGAACCGG
rnacentral:rRNA from 1 species